CAUCCUAACCAAUAUUGUUACGAAUUUUUUAGAUUCUGAAUGGAGCGUUGAACGUUUUGGUUUUACAAUGAAGUUAAUUUUAUUUUUCCAGUGGGCAAUUUUUCUACUAGCAAUUUUGCUCGGUGAUACAAUGGUAUUUACACUUUUCUAAAAGGAAAUCCGACUGUGCUGGUACUUUAGGGAGGUCUGUUUUUGAUUGUCCGCGAAAAAACACGGAGAAACCGGGCACAUAGGUACGAUGUUAAACAAAUGUCAUUAAAAAAAA